AGAAAGACACGACCACCG
rnacentral:misc_RNA from 1 species